rnacentral:rRNA from 1 species
UACGGAGGGGGCAAGCGUUGUUCGGAAUUACUGGGCGUAAAGGGCGCGUAGGUGGCCAACUAAGUCAGACGUGAAAUCCCUCGGCUUAACCGGGGAACUGCGUCUGAUACUGGAUGGCUUGAGUUCGGGAGAGGGAUGCGGAAUUCCAGGUGUAGCGGUGAAAUGCGUAGAUAUCUGGAGGAACACCGGUGGCGAAGGCGGCAUCCUGGACCGACACUGACACUGAGGAGCGAAAGCCAGGGGAGCAAACGGG